ACUGUAAAAAAUAAUGAAAACAAAGCUUCCGGGUCUGAAAAGUAUAGCCAAUGCGGAAGUGCGUUGAACCUGCAUUCUAAUUUCCAGCAGGGGGCGACUCCACUGGUUGCAAAAAGAAGUCUUGAGAAAGUGACCCUG